ACGGUUAGCGACAGGCCCUUGUUGGUAGAUCAGACGACAAGGCUCCGGAGCCUUCCCCUCCUCUGUUCCCGUCUCGCGCGGAGCACAACGCCCGCCCUCCACCAACUUCAGCUCCAGAUCCGGCGGCCGGCCGCGCCCUCCUCCCGCACCAACCAACGGCGCUGAUCCCCUCCGCCAUCUCCGUCCAUCUCCCUCCUAAUUAGGCGCAGGCCUAGCGAUGUCGGAGGCGGUGGGCACGCCGGAGAGCAGCGGGGCGAAGGAGCAGGAGCGGUUCCUGCCGAUCGCCAACAUCGGGCGCAUCAUGCGGCGCGGCGUGCCGGAGAACGGCAAGAUCGCCAAGGACGCUAAGGAGUCCAUCCAGGAGUGCGUCUCCGAGUUCAUCAGCUUCAUCACCAGCGAGGCGAGCGACAAGUGCAUGAAGGAGAAGCGCAAGACCAUCAACGGCGACGACCUGAUCUGGUCCAUGGGCACGCUCGGCUUCGAGGACUACGUCGAGCCCCUCAAGCUCUAUCUCAAGCUCUACCGGGAGAUGGAGGUAUAUUCAUUGCCUUACUGGUCUUCCAUGUUUCGGCGAUCUAUUAUCUUAGGUUCAAGUUUCCUGAAUCUACUCUUCAUUGAUUGUCUUCUAGGGUGACACGUCAAAGGGUUCGAAAUCUGAGCAGGCUGCAAAGAAAGUGGGUGCACUGAAUGGGCAGCCUGGAUCAUCGUUCAACGGCAUGUAGGGUGGAGGAUGAUACUGAUCGGCGUAUGACAAACAUACACAUACAAUUCGUUGGCAGUGUGAUCCUAGCAGUACUGCGCCUUUGUGGCCGGGGAAAGUCCCCAGCACUCUGCUUAGUUCUGUGCAUGCGGGAUACUUGAAAUACCAUGCUAUGUCUUCUGUAGAUGUUAGCUGUUCUUUCCCUCUCUCUAGUUCAGUCCGUGUGUUGUAUGGGUCUGUCUAACCUUAUGGUAAAUUCAGAGAUACGCCUUUUCCACGUCAACUUUUAGGGGUUAGUGACUGUAAUAAGAUGAUGAACAGGUUUGAAAAACCGCAGUCUUUCGCUCGUGUAAGGUAUUGACUGAAGAAGAUAAUGCAGCUGCUGAUGUAUGCUUUUGACCA